AAAACUGAAGAUAUACUAGUGUUCUGCACAAUUUAUCAUUCAGAACCAUCCUGUUUUGGGAAUAUAAAAUCCUCUUGAAUCAUAAUGAGAAAACAUUUGGGAUAUACAACAAGGGAGAAAUGAAAAGAAAAUCAGCUUCAUAAAAAAUGAGAGGAUAAGUAAUAGAAUUUUCCUCCAAAAUCUACAAUAGCAAAACAUAUACCUAGAACCCCAACAACUAAUAAUAUGGGGUCUUAAGAUGAAUUCUUACAUAUACUAUUUUGUAUCCUGUAUAUACAAGAACUCAAAUAGGAUUGAUCAAAUUCUGCAAGGCAUGUAGUUACAGAGAUAUUAUGCUACUUCCAUAACUCUUCCAUGUGAUUCUGCCAAUUUCCAAAUGUCUAUCAUUCCUGUUCCAUCACUAGUGAAAAAAAGACCUCCAGGACCAAUAUGAAUUGUUCUCACUUCUCUUCUUAAAAAAUCCUGCCCCUCUCAUUGAAUCUAAACAAGAAAAAUGAUUAUUUUUGUAAAUCAGUGCCAACGCUAAAAAGAUUAGUUCAAACAAAUAGCCAUUGGUCAUUUAAGGUGUACUUACAAUGGUAGGUCGUAUAGGUAAAUAGAAUCAUCAUUGCAAGAGCAAAACAAAAUUUGUUUUGCUUCUGCAUCAGGCAUCUCACAAAGAGCAAUAACACCCUGUUACAAAUAAACAUUUUACCUUCAAUCAAAUAAUAAAAUAAAAUAACUAUGAAAUCUAGGAUGAGAAAUCAAAUAACUAAGAUCCAUAAAGAAUGACAACCGCACUUUUAAUAGAUGCUUCCACUUCAAAUAUUUAGAGCCAUAGCCCAUUAACAAAUAAAAUCUUUGUAGAUCAAAGAGAAUAAAAUUAAUUUGACUCAAAUAUUUAAAACAGGGUACAACUCUUUUUUUCUAAAACAAAAAAUAAAAAAAGCACAUGUAUUAAAUCUAUCAAAAAAGCAUAAAUAAAAUAUAGGGGCUGCAUUAUCAAAUAAACUUGGUCAGUCAUACCAUAGCAACUAAGGUUCAAACAGAUCCAGCCCUAAGAUUCAAGAAGAAAAAAAUCUACUUAAAUAUGCACAACAAUAUACACUUGGAAGUUGGAAAUAAAUAACUUACAUGUUCCUCAUUAUGUGUAUAGAUCACCUCCAAGUUGCCCCCUUCAGUAGCUGGUCUUGUCUAAUGAAAAAAACAGUAGAUAAUGAUCCCAGCAAAUAAGAGAUGUUAAUGCAUCAUUAUGACCACUCAGUGUAUUAAAAUACUGAGGUCCCAUGCCUAAAAGAAAAAUAACAAAAACAAAAUGCGGAGGGUGACAGUGGAGUCAAACAGACAAAUACAUCUCCUCUUGCACAUGAAGGGAUACAAGGAAAACUGACGAUGGAGGGAUAAAAGGAAAACUGACAAUG
rnacentral:misc_RNA from 1 species